rnacentral:tRNA from 1 species
GCGGGUGUUGCUCAGUGGUAGAACCUGGGCUUAGAAGGUCUGAGCCCUGGGUUCCCUCCCCAGCACCCGCC